rnacentral:rRNA from 1 species
GGGUCAGUAGGUUGGUCGUGCCACCGGUACGUACUGGUCUCACUGAUUCCUCCUUCCUGAAGAACCGUAAUGCCAUUAAUUUGGUGUGGCGGGGAAACAGGACUCUUACUUUGAAAAAAUUAGAGUGUUUAAAGCAAGCUAACGCUUGAAUACAUUAGGAUGGUAUAAUGAAAUAGGACGAUCGAUCCUAUUUUGUUGGUUUCUAGGAUUGACGUA